GACGAACGCUGGCGGCGUGCCUAAUACAUGCAAGUAGAACGCUGAAGGAGGAGCUUGCUUCUCUGGAUGAGUUGCGAACGGGUGAGUAACGCGUAGGUAACCUGCCUGGUAGCGGGGGAUAACUAUUGGAAACGAUAGCUAAUACCGCAUAAUAGUAGAUGUUGCAUGAUAUUUGCUUAAAAGGUGCAAUUGCAUCACUACCAGAUGGCCCUGCGUUGUAUUAGCUAGUUGGUGGGGUAACGGCUCACCAAGGCGACGAUACAUAGCAGACCAGAGAGGGUGAGCGGCCACGCUGGGAGGGAGGCACGGCCCGGACUCCUACGGGAGGCAGCAGUAGGGGAUCUUCGGCAAUGGACGGAAGUGUGACCGAGGAACGCCGCGUGAGAGCAGGAGGUAGUCGGGUCGUAAAGCUCUGUUAUGAGAGAGGGACGAAUGUCAGUGUUGCAAGUUCACAUUGUGACGGUAUCUUACGAGAAAGCGACGGCUAACUACGUG
rnacentral:rRNA from 1 species